UACAGAGGGCCCGAGCGUUGUUCGGAUUCACUGGGCGUAAAGGGUGCGUAGGUGGCUUGAAAAGUUUGAUGUGAAAGCUCAGGGCUUAACCCUGAAAUGGCAUUGAAUACUGUCGAGCUGGAGGUUUGGAGGGGGGACUGGAAUUCUUGGUGUAGCAGUGAAAUGCGUAGAUAUCAAGAGGAACACCAGUGGCGAAGGCGGCAUCCUGGACCAACAUUGACGCUGAGGAGCGAAAGCCAGGGGAGCAAACGGG
rnacentral:rRNA from 1 species